UGGGGAAUUUUGCGCAAUGGGGGAAACCCUGACGCAGCAACGCCGCGUGGAGGAUGAAGCCCCUUGGGGUGUAAACUCCUUUCGAUAGGGAAGAUAAUGACGGUACCUAUAGAAGAAGCCCCGGCUAACUUCGUGCCAGCAGCCGCGGUAAUACGAGGGGGGCAAGCGUUGUUCGGAAUUAUUGGGCGUAAAGGGCGCGUAGGCGGUUUGACAAGUCUUGUGUGAAAUCUCUGGGCUCAACCCAGAGUCUGCACAGGAAACUGUCGGGCUUGAGUAUGGGAGAGGUGAGUGGAAUUUCCGGUGUAGCGGUGAAAUGCGUAGAUAUCGGAAGGAACACCUGUGGCGAAAGCGGCUCACUGGACCAUAACUGACGCUGAGGCGCGAAAGCUAGGGGAGCAAACAGGAUUAGAUACCCCCGUAGUCC
rnacentral:rRNA from 1 species